rnacentral:misc_RNA from 1 species
GAUGAAGAACGUAGUGAAAUGCGAUAAGUAGUGUGAAUUGCAGAAUUCAGUGAAUCAUCGAAUCUUUGAACGCACAUUGCGCCCCUUGGUAUUCCAUGGGGCAUGCCUGUUCGAGCGUCAUUUGUACCUUCAAGCUCUGCUUGGUGUUGGGUGUUUGUCUCGCCUCUGCGUGUAGACUCGCCUCAAAACAAUUGGCAGCCGGCGUAUUGAUUUCGGAGCGCAGUACAUCUCGCGCUUUGCACUCAUAACGACGACGUCCAAAAGUACAUUUUUACACUCUUGACCUCGGAUCAGGUAGGGAUACCCGCUGAACUUAAGCAUAUCAAUAAGCGGAGGGA